GAUGAAGAUUGAAGAAGAUUAAAGAGUUGGAGAGUAUUGAAGAACAAUGUGAUUGGAAGAAGGAUGAUGGAGGAUGUUGAUGGAGAGUGGUGAAGAAGAUGAUUGGAGAAGAUUGAAGAAUGUGAAAGAAUGGAUCCAGAGCCUCAAAUGGUGAAGCAAGCUAUGAUUUUAUAGUAGUGGAGGAGAUUCAAUUUCUGAGGUUAUUAGCGGAUAUUUGUGGCCAUUGAAGACAGUUAGUAGGUUCAAUGAUGAGGUUAUUUGGAGAACAAGCACAUGGUUUGAAGAAUGAAGGUGGAAGAAAUGAAGAGAAAUAGGUUUAGGAUAGGAAUAUUGACUUGUUAAAGAAUGGUGAUGUAACAUAAUUGUAAUGGUUCUUUUUUCUUCUAGAUGUAACAGGAUCUGAUUGGUAUUGUAAUCCUUUUAUGAUUUGUAAAG